rnacentral:rRNA from 1 species
GAUGAACGCUGGCGGCGUGCCUAAUACAUGCAAGUCGAGCGAACAGAUAAGGAGCUUGCUCCUUUGACGUUAGCGGCGGACGGGUGAGUAACACGUGGAUAACCUACCUAUAAGACUGGGAUAACUUCGGGAAACCGGAGCUAAUACCGGAUAACAUAUUGAACCGCAUGGUUCAAUAGUGAAAGGCGGCUUUGCUGUCACUUAUAGAUGGAUCCGCGCCGUAUUAGCUAGUUGGUAAGGUAACGGCUUACCAAGGCAACGAUACGUAGCCGACCUGAGAGGGUGAUCGGCCACCCUGGAACUGAGACACGGUCCAGACCCCUACGGGAGGCGGCAGAAGGGAAACGUCCGCAAUGGGCGAAAGCCUGACGGAGCAACGCCGCGUGAGUGAUGAAGGUCUUCGGAUCGUAAAACUCUGUUAUCAGGGAAGAACAAAUGUGUAAGUAACUGUGCACAUCUUGACGGUACCUGAUCAGAAAGCCACGGCUAACUACGUG